UAGUCCGCACGAGCGCACCCCUAUUCUUAGUUGCCAGCACAUAAUGGUGGGGACUCUAAGAAGACUGCCGGCGCAAGCCGAGAGGAAGGCGGGGACGACGUCAAGUCAUCAUGGCCCUUACGUCCAGGGCUACACACGUGCUACAAUGGCCAGUACAACGGGUAGCGACACAGUGAUGUGAAGCCAAUCUCAAAAAGCUGGUCUCAGUUCGGAUCGGAGUCUGCAACUCGACUCCGUGAAGUUGGAAUCGCUAGUAAUCGCGCAUCAGCAAUGGCGCGGUGAAUACGUUCCCGGACCUUGNACACACCGCCCGU
rnacentral:rRNA from 1 species